rnacentral:rRNA from 1 species
UGCCAGCAGCCGCGGUAAUACUGAAGGUGCAAGCGUUAAUCGGAAUCACUGGGCGUAAAGCGCGUGUAGGUGGUCAAGUCAGUCAGAUGUGAAAACUCGGGGCUCAACCCCGGAAGUGCACUUGAAACAGCAAGACUUGAAUACGGUAGAGGAGAGAGGAAUUCCUGGUGUAGAGGUGAAAUUCGUAGAUAUCAGGAGGAACACCGAUGGCGAAGGCAUCUCUCUGGGUCGAUAUUGACGCUGAGGCGCGAAGGCGUGGGUAGCGAACGGGAUUAGAUA